rnacentral:lncRNA from 1 species
CCCUGCUUCAAGCAAUUUUUGUUUUACAACUGUUCCUUUCACAAGCAAGCCUUAAAAAAAAAAAAACAACUUCCUUUUUCUUCAGAUCCCACACCCAUUUUUAUUAGCAGACUGCAAUCAAUCCACAUUCAAUAAAAGUAUAUAAUGCCCAUUUUUAUAUGCACGUUUUUAAACUUCCAAGUUCUGAAAAUUGUUUACUGGUUAUUCUCUAUUUAAGGAAAAAAUAAAAUGUUUUGGAUUUUCAUAUGUGUCUGAUAAGUGGUUGAGUAGUCAUUUUGCUCUAUUGUAUUGUGUGAUUGUUAGUAUAUGGUAUCACAUCCUCUAGCCAGCAUCCUUUGCCUUCCCUAUAGCACUUAGCUGGGCAUUACUUUAUUAAGACAUAUGUGCACUAAAAAAAAAAAAAAUAGCAGCUUUCAGUGCUUCACAGUGAAGGGAAAAAAGCCUAGACAAACAUUUUGUCAGAACCUUGCUAUGAGACAAGGUAUUACCAGUAAAUUGGUUGUAUAUACAAUAAAAUUGCACCCUUUUUUAAACAAAACAAACUAAGCAAUAGUUUGGGCAGUUAGUUGUUUUUAGUGAGCAUGUUGUAGUCAUGGCUGCAAAGAGAGAGAAUUAAACUGCCCACUCAGAAGAUAUGUAAUUUGUAUGUUGUAUAGUUUUAUUGAUUACACUGAUUUAUUCUACCCUAUUUUAUAAUGCAGGACUUUUGUAAUGUUGUUUAAAUGAGGAAAAAUUUCUGUCAAAUUAGCUUAGUGGAAUUUCUGAUUGUUCGUUAUAAAGGCAGCGUUCAUAGAAUUGCUUUUUUUUUUUUUUCCUUUUUUUUAUUUCCUAGAGGGCAGGACAUGGUGUUUGAGACCAGAAAUCCGUGCCUGGUAAGAUUUUCGUCUCGAAAAAGCUACCCUAAGAAUUCAGAGAGCUUGCUCUGAAGAACAGUUCAAAUUGAAGGGACAGUCCUUUAAACCCACAAAUGAGACCGAGCUCAUGUUGCAAGAGAUUUCUUAAUGGGCAGCGGUGAACCAGGUACCCAUGCUUGACCCUUCUUCACACCAGACUUCCUCAUAUAGAAAGAAAAAAACCCUUUUAAAAAAAAAAAAAAAAAAAAA